UACGGAGGGUGCAAGUGUUAUCCGGAAUCACUGGGCGUAAAGCGUCUGUAGGUGGUUUAAUAAGUCAACUGUUAAAUCUUGAGGCUCAACCUCAAAAUCGCAGUCGAAACUAUUAGGCUAGAGUAUAGUAGGGGUAAAGGGAAUUUCCAGUGGAGCGGUGAAAUGCGUAGAGAUUGGAAAGAACACCGAUGGCGAAGGCACUUUACUGGGCUAUUACUAACACUCAGAGACGAAAGCUAGGGUAGCAAAUAGGG
rnacentral:rRNA from 1 species